rnacentral:lncRNA from 1 species
GUGCAGCCGGCCCCCCGAAAAGAUGAAUAUCUGUCACAAGAAAAUUUCCUUAAAUUUACAAAUACCUUAAUGAAUAUCCUGCUCCUAGCAUUUUUUUACUCAUUGACCAGAUAUCGUGAUGUCUUCCUAAAUUAUUAUUUUUCAAACAUUUGAGUUUCAGAAGGUGGUAAAAACUUCCAGCUUUUCUCUUUGAUUUUCCGAUUCUCAGAAAAGGUUAGUCCUCUUCUUGAUGUUGCGUCUUCACCCAUGUCGAUGGAGCUAUCCAAAAAGAUAUAUCUCUCUUUCGCCUCAGAAACAAAACGACCUAUUGGCAGAGCCCAAAAGAAAAGGAAACAGGUGUGAAGCUAUUUAGAGGAAAGUUCAGAUGUAGCUGUAACAUCCGUAAGCUGAAAGUCAAAAUCAUACAGCUGACUCUUGGAAACUCCAAUAGAAUGCACCCCCACUUAAAAUGACUAAUGUAGCAUUUUUUUUUUUCUUAACAUCUGUUAGGCCCUCUGUGGACACAUCGUGGAGAGUUGUAACAAGGUUUUAUGAAGGGAUAGAGAAAGAAGGCCUGCUUGUCUUCGUCAGCUCUUCAAAUGCCUCCUGCGAUGCCACCGCUACAUGGAAGACACCCCGGAAAGGAGGGUGAGCCAGAGGGCCCUGCCAUGUGUGGCUGGAAGUCCUACGAGGGAGCCAGGGUCAGAAGCUGGCAUGAUGCCCCCGCAGGCGGAGAUUGCGUCUCACCCACCGUCAUGUCCUAGAGCCUAGCGUGGCGCAUGCAGAAGGUGCUCUGUAAGUGAGCGGCAGCGGGAACUCAAAACUGCAGGAGGUAAAGGGGAAGCGUGUGGCCAGGCUGCCACUUGGAGGGCAACCUGAGCACUUGCAAUCGGGGAUGGCUUCAGGGCAUCAGUGAGGCUAGGUCGGAACCCAGCGUCACACACACACACACACAGACCGCUCCUGGUCCAUAGGAAGGGAUCUUCCUACAUUCUCUGGGGACGUCAUGCAUCCUUGGGCUGGCGGGGUUUGAGGGGUGAGGGGAAGCACGGAGCUCUAAGGCAGAAGGCUCACUGGGAUCUGACUUUGGG